rnacentral:rRNA from 1 species
ACAACUCNCCUGCCGAAGCAACUAGCCNUUGAAAUGGAUGGCGCUCUAGCGUCGUGCCUAUACCGGGCCGUCAACGGCAAAGUGGGCGUCUGCCUUCGGGCAAGAGCCGUUAUGCCUUGACGAGUAGGAGGGUCGCGGCGGUGUGCGCAGAAGGGUCGGGGCGUGAGCCCGCCUGGAGCCGCCGUCGGCGCAGAUCUUGGUGGUAGUAGCAAAUACUCUAGCGAGGGCCUGGAGGACUGACGUGGAGAAGGGUUUCUUGUGAACAGCCGUUGCACAAGAGUCAGUCGACCCUAAGCCCUAGGAGAAAUCCGAUGUUGAUGGGUGGCUAGACAAAAACCAUGUUCUGUUUGUUGCGAAACGAAUCUCUUCCCUUUGUCUGUGACCGUCUCCCGGAGGCUGUAAAGCCACGGCAGUAUGGCCGACGUUCGAGUUCAGCUGUGGAUCGUCCACAGCGAGGACCUUACGGGUUGNAGAUGCGUUACGUUUCAUCCCUGAGGCCGGUGGUGAUUCGCCUGUGCCAGGGGCUGAACUUCGUGACAACUGCUCCUGUCGGGCAAAAGGGAAUCCGGUUCCUAUUCCGGAACCCGGCUGCGGAACCGUCACUCUGCGGGCACUCGCCUGCGAGCGCUCGUCGGGGUAACCCAAACUGGCCCGGAGACGCCGGCGGGGGGUCUGGAAAGAGUUUUCUUUUCUUUAUAAGCGUUCGAGUACCCUGGAAUCCUAUAGCAGGGAGAUAGGGUUUGGAACGCGAAGAGCACCGCAGUUGCGGCGGUGUCCGGACCUUCCCCCCGGACCUUGAAAAUCCGGGUGAGGGCUACGCGGAAGUCGCGCCGGAUCGUACCCAUAUCCGCAGCAGGUCUCCAAGGUUAAGAGCCUCUAGUCGAUAGAAUAAUGUAGG